GGGUUGUGAGGUUAAGCGACUAAGCGUACACGGUGGAUGCCCUGGCAGUCAGAGGCGAUGAAGGACGUGCUAAUCUGCGAUAAGCGUCGGUAAGGUGAUAUGAACCGUUAUAACCGGCGAUUUCCGAAUGGGGAAACCCAGUGUGAUUCGUCACACUAUCAUUAACUGAAUCCAUAGGUUAAUGAGGCGAACCGGGGGAACUGAAACAUCUAAGUACCCCGAGGAAAAGAAAUCAACCGAGAUUCCCCCAGUAGCGGCGAGCGAACGGGGAGCAGCCCA
rnacentral:rRNA from 1 species